rnacentral:rRNA from 1 species
UACGUAGGGUGCGAGCGUUGUCCGGAAUUAUUGGGCGUAAAGAGCUCGUAGGCGGUCUGUCGCGUCGAUCGUGAAAACUUGGGGCUUAACCCUGAGCUUGCGGUCGAUACGGGCAUGACUGGAGUUCGGCAGGGGAGACUGGAAUUCCUGGUGUAGCGGUGAAAUGCGCAGAUAUCAGGAGGAACACCGGUGGCGAAGGCGGGUCUCUGGGCCGAUACUGACGCUGAGGCGCGAAAGCUAGGGGAGCGAACGGG